rnacentral:rRNA from 1 species
GGACGAACGCUGGCGGCGUGCCUAACACAUGCAAGUCGAGCGGAGAUAGACUGAUGGUAACUGAAGUUUGUCUUAGCGGCGGACGGGUGAGUAACACGUGGGCAACCUGCCUUGGAGUGGGGGAUAACACCGGGAAAUCGGUGCUAAUACCGCAUAACAUACACAAGCUGCAUGGUAUGUGUAUCAAAGGAGUAAUCCGCUUUAAGAUGGGCCCGCGGCUGAUUAGCUAGUUGGUAAGGUAACGGCUUACCAAGGCGACGAUCAGUAGCCGACCUGAGAGGGUGACCGGCCACACUGGAACUGAGACACGGUCCAGACUCCUACGGGAGGCAGCAGUGGGGAAUAUUGCGCAAUGGGGGGAACCCUGACGCAGCAACGCCGCGUGGAGGAAGAAGGUCUUCGGAUUGUAAACUCCUGUCUUCUGGGAAGAUAAUGACGGUACCAGAGGAGGAAGCCACGGCUAACUACGUGCCAGCAGCCGCGGUAAUACGUAGGCGGCGAGCGUUGUCCGGAAUUACUGGGCGUAAAGGGCGCGUAGGCGGCUUUUUAAGUUAGAUGUGAAAACCCGGGGCUUAACUUCGGACGUGCAUUUAAAACUGGAGAGCCUGAGUGCAGGAGAGGUAAGUGGAAUUCCUAGUGUAGCGGUGAAAUGCGUAGAUAUUAGGAGGAACACCAGUGGCGAAGGCGACCUCCUGGCCUAUUUCUGACGCUCAGACGCGAAAGCUAGGGUAGCAAACGGGAUUAGAGACCCCGGUAGUCCUAGCCGUAAACGAUGUAGACUUGGCGUUGGUGGGGUAAAAUCCAUCAGUACCGAAGCAAACGCGAUAAGUCUACCGCCUGGGGACUACGGCCGCAAGGUUAAAACUCAAAGGAAUUGACGGGACCCCGCACAAGCAGCGGAGCGUGUGGUUUAAUUCGAUGAUACACGAAGAACCUUACCUGGGUUUGACAUGCAAGUGGUAGGAAACUGAAAGGUAACCGACCCUUCGGGGAGCUUGCACAGGUGCUGCAUGGCUGUCGUCAGCUCGUGUCGUGAGAUGUUCGGUUAAGUCCGCUAACGAGCGCAACCCUCGUCGUGUGUUACAAGUGUCACGCGAGACCGCCGAUGUCAAGUCGGAGGAAGGUGGGGAUGACGUCAAGUCAGCAUGGCCUUUAUAUCCAGGGCUACACACACGCUACAAUGGUCAACACAAUAGGUCGCGAAACCGCGAGGUGGAGCCAAUCCUCAAAGUUGGCCUCAGUUCAGAUUGUAGGCUGCAACUCGCCUGCAUGAAGAUGGAGUUGCUAGUAACCGCAGGUCAGCACUACUGCGGUGAAUACGUUCCCGGGGUU